rnacentral:tRNA from 12 species
GCAUCCGUAGCUCAGCUGGAUAGAGUACUCGGCUACGAACCGAGCGGUCGGAGGUUCGAAUCCUCCUGGAUGCACCA